ACUUUUAAGUUUUAUCAGCUAGUUCAUGCUUGCGUUGAAAGAGUGGUCGUUUGCGCUGGGUCAUCACUGUGUAGUAUUGGGGAUACUUAGGUGAGAAAAAAACUUAACGCUAGAGACGUUCACGCACUAGUGGAGAAGCCAGGAUUGUUGCCCUAGAGUUACAGUAGAUAAAAGUACCUCAGAGAACUGCGGGGGCUCCCAACCUGGACGCUUGCACCGGAGUAUUAAAUCCAGCUAGAGAAUGGCAUGUGCAAAGAUACAGAGCUACAGUCAAAUGGGCAGCUGAAGAUGAUGAUGAUGAUGAUCUUGACACCGAGAAGCAGAAGACCAAUGAAGAUGACCAGACAGCAAAAAAGGAUAAGUUAAAAGAAGCACUUUGGCUGGCCUGGAUUUCUUGCUUGGUGGUGGGACUAUGACUGUCCCUGAAGUCCUUAUGAUUGCCUUACCCUUGAUAUGAUCAUGAUUACUACAAAUAGCCUGUUCAUCAUUACCACUGGAUUUGUUCCUGAGCUGACACUUAACUGAGCCUUACCAGAACAUUCCACCAUCAUCUGCCAGGGUCUGUUUUAUUGCAGAAGCCAUAGAGGUGAUCUGAAUAGAGAUAUAAUGGGCAUAAACAGGCUUGUGUCCUCUAAGUCUGUUCUGAUGGUGUUAAUCUCUGCAGUUCUUUCUGGGAUGCAAUAUUGCUUCUACUGAUGGGGGCAGUGAAGUGUCUGGGUAACUUCAGGGGCUUCCACUUGGCCCUUUCUACUACAGACUCUUACUCGGCUGGAUGUGGUGGCUCACGCCUGUAAUUCCAGCACUUUGGGAGGCCGAGGCGGGCGGAUCACUUGAGGUCAGGAGUUCGAGAUCAGCCUGGCCAAUGUGGUGAAACCCCAUCUCUACUAACAUUAGAGACUACAAAAAUUAGCCGUGUGUGGUGGUGGCAUGCCUGUAAUUCCAGCUACUCAGGAGGCUGAGGCAGGGGAAUCGCUUGAACCCAGGAGGUGGAGGUUGCAGUGAGCCGGGAUCAAGCCAUUGUACUCCAGCCUGGGUGACAGAACAAGACUCUGUCUCAAAAAAAAAAAAGAUUCUUACUCCUCAGGUCAGAAAAACAACACAAGAAUUCUAAUAUCUGCUAAAUAUAUAUCUGCUGAUCUCUACUUCCAGAAACUGGGGAAUUAACCACAGGGUGGGUCCGUGAAUGCAUAGAACCAAUGUGAAAUGCAUUUGGGCUAGAAGUCAUUUUAUCACUUGGCUUUCAUCAUUCAAAUUCAUCAUCUAAAAAUGGGGGGCUGCAUGCGGUGCCUCACACCUGUAAUUCCAGCACUUUGGGAGGCUGAGGUGGGUGGAUCAUCUGAGGUGAGGAGUUCAAGACUCAUCCUGGCCCACAAUGCAAAACCCGUCUGCACUAAAAAUACAAACAUUAGCCAGGCGUGGUGGCGGGCACUUGUAGUCCCAGCUACUCGAGAGGCUGAGGCGGGAGAAUCACUUGAACCCAGGAGAUGGAGGUUGCAGUCAGCCGAGAUUGUGCCACUUCACUCCAGCCUGGGUGACGGAGCGAGACUCCCUGUCAAUAAAUAAAUAAAUAAAUAAAUAAUGGGGGUGACAGUUCUUAUCACUUACGGGUUUUGUGAGGAUUAAAUGGUAUGUGUAAACACCAAAACAGCUGUUGACACACAGUAGGUGUUCAAGAAAUAGUACUGUGAUAGGACAUUUUUCUACAGAAAUCCUGACUCCCGCUUUGGAUGAUUUCCUUGAAUCCUGAGUUUUUUGAAUUCCCCAAAUUGUCCUCCAUGGUACUACAUAGUCAUUAAGAACAAAGAUUUAGGAGCCAGAUCAUUGGGGUUUUGAAUCUUGGCUCUACCAGUCACUAGCUGUUGGAUGUUGGGCAAGUGGUUUAAUCUAUCUGUGAUUCAAUUUCUUUAAUCUAUAAAAUGAGAAAAAUUAUAUAUCUCACAGUAUUGUUUUGGUAAUUGAGUUAUUAUAUGGAAAACACCUAGAAUUGCCUGGCACAUAGUAAGCAGAAUGUAACUGUUAGCUAUUAUUAUUUUAUUGUUAUUUUUUGAGAUGGGGUCUCACUCUGUUGCCCAGGCUGGAGUGCAAUGGUGAGAUCAUGGCUUGCUGCAGCCUCAACCUCCCACGCUUAAGUGAUCCUCCCACCUCAGCCUCCCAAGUAGCUGGGACUACAGGUGCAUGCCACCACACCCAGCUAAUUUUUGUAUAUUUGUAGAGACAGGGUUUCACCAUGUUACCCAGGCUGGUCUUGAGUCCUGGGCUCAAACAAUCCGCACACUUUGGCCUCCCAAAGUGCUGGGAUUACAGGUGUGAGCCACCAUGCCUGGCCUAUUAUUAUUAUUAAUUGGCCAACACUACCACCUAGAAUUUCUUACUAGCUGGCUUUUUUUCCCCCAUCCGUUGCUUAGCUACAUAUAUCUCCCCUCUCACUCUUCUCUUUCUCCUUCCAAAUCAAAAGGUUACAGCCUGCUGGUGGCCAUUCUGACAGGCUGGGAAGCAUAGGCUCCAGUUAGAAGCCAGAAACAGGCUCUUCCUCUCCUUCCAAAUCAUACCUGGGGGACUCAGCUUUUCUGGGAAACGUAAUAAUAGAAACAUUUACCCAGCACUUACUCAGAGUAUUGUGCUAAAUUCUUUCCAUGGAUGAACUCUUAAUUUUCACAACAAUCUUAAGAGGUAGAUAUAAAUAUUAUGCCCACUUUAUAGAUAGGGAAAAUUACAGUUUCAGAGAGACAUGACAACUUACCUAAGGUCACAUUCUAGAAAUUGGUAGAGUUGGGAUUUGAGCCCAGGUUUGUGAUAUUCCCUAGCCUAUUCUAACCAUAGGAAUAUGGCAUUGCGUAGUAGUAAAUUUAUGCACUCUAGCAUCAGACUGUGUUCACAUGCUGGACUCACAGCUGUGACUUACUACUGCCUUGCCUACUUAAGUGGCUUCUGAAAAUAUUUGGCCUUUCCAUUGGAGAUGGAGACAAAUGUGGGCAGUAAUGUUUUUAAAUAGAGUUUUCCCCAAUACCCAACAUAGAAUCUGCCGCAGAGCAGAUGCCUCAUAAACAUUGGCUCAGAAAAUAAAUAUAUUCACGACACUAUUGUAGGCACGGUGUGGGUUACAAAGGCAGUUGAUUGAUUACUUAUUUAUUGCAAGGAAUUGGCUGUUUUGCUCGUCAGGGCUGGCUUGGCAAGUUAAAAAUCUGCAGGGCAAACCAGCAGGCUGGAAACUCAGGCAGGAGUGGAAGCAGCAAUCCACAGUAAGUUUCUUCCCCAAGGAAGACUUCAGUUUGGUCUUUAGGCCUUUACACUGAUUGGAUGAGGCACACCCAGAUUAUUGAAGACAGUCUCUUUUAUUCAAAAGUCAACUGACUGUACAUGUUAACCACAUCUACAAAAUACCAUCACAGCAACACCUAGAUUCGUGUUUGAUUAAUAAAGUAGGUACUAUAUCCUAGCCAUAUUGACACAUAAAACUAAACUUCAUGGUCAGACUUGGUGGCUCACGCCUGUAAUCCCAGCAUUUUGGGAGGCCAAGACAGGGGGAUUGCUUGAGUCCAGGAGUUGGAGACCAGCCUGAGCAACAUGGCAAAACCCUGUCACUACAAAAAAUUUAAAAAACUAGCCAGGUGAGGUGGCGGGAGCCUGUAAUCCCAGCUACCCAGGAAGCUUGAGCCCUGGCAGUCGAGGUUGCAGUGAGCCAAGAUCGCGUCACUGCACUCCAGCCUGAGUAACAGAGUGAGACCCUGUCUCAAAAACAGACAAUCAAAAAACUAAACUAAACUAACCUUCACUUAAUUUUUUCAAGUUCGUUUCAUCAGCUAUAAAAUUGAGAUACUGAUCCUUACCUCCUUACCUCCUAUAUGAAAAUGCACAUUAGGUAGCAGAACUUUGCAUGAAGCAGAGCAACAGGGCUUAACAGGUCUUAGCGCUCAGUCUACAAGAAUCAGUGGGGAGGCCGUUGCAAUGCUUUGACGAGCAGGGUUUGGUUUGAAUAAGAAUAUAUUUUUCCAACAUGGAUAUUUUGUAAUAUAAGCACAUGGGUGGCGGGGAAACAGUUCAAACUGGCAAUCAAUGAAGAGGUUGUCUCACUCUAGGCCUUUCCCUCAGAAGUAAUCGUUGCUGAUAGUUUCUGACUAUUUUUCCAGAAUUUUGUUCUAUAUGCAUGCACGCUCAAUGCCUAAUCACACUCAGCCUUUUGUCCCCUUGCACCUUGCUUUUUAAAUUUAAUGGUAUGUCUUGGAGAAUGUUCCAUUUCAGCAUGUACAAAUCUACUUCUUUUAAAAAAUGGCUGCAAAGGGCUGGGCGUGGUGGCUCACGUCUGUAAUCCUGGCACUUUGGGAGGCCAAGGCAGGCGGAUUGCCUGAGCUCAGGAGUUUGAGACCAGUCUGGGCAACACAGUGAAACCCCAUCAAUACAAAAAAAAAAAAAAAUUAGCCGGGUGUGGCAGCGUGUGCCUGUAGUCCCACCUACUCGGGAGGCUGAGGCAGGAGAAUUGCUUGAACCCAGGAGGCGGAGGUUGUAGUGAGCUGAGAUCACACCACUGCACUCCAGCCUGGGCGACAGAGCGAGACUCUGUGUCUUAAAAAAAAUUGGCUGCAAAGUAUUCCAUUGUGUUGUUAAAUACUAAUUUACUUAUUUAAUAAGUUCUCAACUGAUGGUAAUUUAGGUUACCAACUUUUUUGCUAUUAUAAAUAAUACAAGGGUAAACAUCUUUGUACAUACAUACAUGUUUGCAUAAUGUGUAAGAAGAGAUGUAAGAUAAAUUUCGAGAACUGGAAAUACUGCAUUAAAGGGUUUGCACAUUUAAAAUGUCAAUGUAUAGUGCCACUUUAUCUUUCAAAGAGAUUGCAUUAGUUUAUACCCAACCAAU
rnacentral:lncRNA from 1 species